GAAAAUGUUAGCAAAAAGAAAGAUGACUAAAUCUAACAUUGUUUUUUGAUAACUUUUUUUUUUUGAUAACUUGCACCAGAAAUCAACCAAACUCCCUCUAGUUAAAUAACUAGGCCUACGUUCUGAAGCAAACUGAAGACGCAAAAUGAUUGACAGGCAGAGCGCGUUUAUGAUUGGCUACAAAAAGGCGGGCCGCUGGCCGAGUUUUUGUCGUUUACAGAGCCGAGGGCUGUCGCACAGCUCCUUUGGAGCCGUCUGCAGGUGUGUGUCGAUUGGGGGUGGGGUUGUUCAGGAACAUCUUGUCGAGGCCUUUAAGGGCUUCAGUCAGGUAAUUCUGCAAAGCCGUGAGAGCAGCGCAGAUGGCUGGAGAACCAAAACCGUGUGUGAUGAAGCUAAAGUGUGACAGGCAGCUCUGGAUUCCUGGCUCCAAGAUGGGCGUAGGCCGAGAGUUUCCUAAUGGAGUGCGAUCUUGAGCCAACAGAACCCCGCCGAGCAGAGAGGCGUUGAGGCACUCUGGCGGAGAGAGGCGCCGCUGGACCUCGCCAACCGUCACUUUAUAUUUGGAUGUGGAGCUAAGAAGCGACAGGCGGCCGGGAACCGAGCAGAAGACCUCGU